UACGUAGGUGGCAAGCGUUAUCCGGAAUUAUUGGGCGUAAAGAGCGCGUAGGCGGAUUUUUAAGUGAGAUGUGAAAUACUCGGGCUCAACUUGAGUGCUGCAUUUCAAACUGGAAGUCUAGAGUGCAGGAGAGGAGAAUGGAAUUCCUAGUGUAGCGGUGAAAUGCGUAGAGAUUAGGAAGAACACCAGUGGCGAAGGCGAUUCUCUGGACUGUAACUGACGCUGAGGCUCGAAAGCGUGGGGAGCAAACAGG
rnacentral:rRNA from 1 species